GUGGACCGUAGCCCACCAGACUCCUCUGUCCAUGGGAUUCUCCAGGCAAGAAGACUGGAGUGGGCUGCCAUGCCCUCCUCCAAGGAUCUUCCUGACCUAGGGAUCGAACCUUCAUCUCCUGCGUCAAUUGUCCUGAUAACCCACAACGGGAUGCAGAAUCUUGCUUCAGACCCCAUGGGGGAUGUUCCUCAUAACUGCAGGUGGAGGAAGGAAGGAUUGUGUUAAUUAUUCCACAGACAAUGUGUCCUUCAAGAAACUAGAAGAAGCUGGGCUUCCAAACAUGAGACAGAGAGUAGAAGAGCCCAUUUACAAGCAGCAGCAGGAGCAGUAGAAACAGUGAUGCAGAGGAGGUGAGUCACAACUUCCUCUGUGAGGAAAAAGGAACCGUGGAGGCCUGGGGUGUCCCCAGGGCCACUAGUCAGCUGCGAAAGCCACUGCUGAUCUGCAAUGGUGCCUCAAUCUUGAACAUUUGAAAUUACUCCUACUCCAUUGUUAUUUUUAGCAGAGUUGUUUCUUCAAGAAAAUUGCUCCCUGAUCUUGUCUCUCCCUUGCUCUCAGACUAUGUGCAUGUUUUAACACAGCUGGUCAUGAUAGUCUACUUUUCCUAAUCACGUUGUUACUUUACUGUGAAAAGUGGAAAAUUUGAGUAUGUAAGUUGUAUGGUCUUAUAAUGUAAACUACUGAGACUUGCAAUGUAACAGUUUAUUAAUCCUUGAAGAUAUUUUUAUUUGGUAUCUUUUUAUGGAAUUCUUGUCUGCAAAUCUUAAGCUGAAAAGUCACUAGAACUCUGUUUAGAAAUGAAUUAAAAAUCACAUGGCUUUUAUUGUU